GCUAAACGAUGCCGAAAUGCAUGCUAAUGAGAGAAGAAGAAAGAAAGAAUGGACAAAAAACUGGAUUAAGAGGAGAAACGCUGGAAAAGGUGUACUCUACAUGCUUCAUAAAGAGUUGAGGAUAGAAGAUCAUACAUCGUUUGCAAAUUUUAUACGAAUGGAUGUAUUGGUAUUUGAAGAACUUCUUUUGUAUGGUUUCGCCUCCGAUUCAGAAGAAACACAGUGAUGCGUCAGGCAAUUACGGCCCGGGAAAGAUAAGUGCAUUAUUAUUUGUUCAAAAGAGAAAGUUAAUUUUUAUUUAUAAUCCAUUGUAAUUUUACGAUCAAUCUGAGGCAUGUUUAAUAUGCGUCUCUAGGCUUGCUGUCACACUCCGUUUCCUAGCGACCAGAAACACUUAAAGAUUUGGCCUAUUCUACACGAACAGCGAACAACACGCUCUCCCGAAUGAUACCAGAGACUUUGAUGGCCAUAGCAAGUGUGUUAGGAGAUAAUGUGAUACAGUGUCCAUGUGAUCCUGCCAAGUGGAAACUAAUAGAAGAUGGGUUCCACAGCCUCUGGCAAUUCCCGCAUUGCAUUUGAGCACUUGGUGGGAAACAUGUCAAGUUUAGGCCUCUGCACUCUGAUGGUUCAUCAUUCAGAAACUACAAAGGUCACGACAGCGUAGUUCUUUUAGCUCUAGUAGAUGCUAAUUAUAAAUUUUUGUUUGUGGACAUCGGCAGAAAUGGGAGAAUGAAUGAUGGUGCAAUAUUCAGAGAGAGUGCCUUGUUCAUUAAACUCAUGGAUGGUUUAUUAAAUUUGCCACCAAAGUGUCCACUUCCAGGUAGUGACAUCUGUGUUCCCUACAUGUUUGUGGUAGAUGAUGCUUUUGCGUAAUGGAAAAUUAAAUGAAACCAUAUCCUGAACGUGA